CUACGGAGGGCUCAUACCCACGCAGGAUAUUGAUCAGCACAAUCAUAUAGUGACCCAGCCAUCACCUUGGGAGGUAGAUGUCCUCAUCUCUAGUUUAUAGAUUAAGAAACUAAGGCUCAGAGUGGCUUAGUGACUUAGCUGAGAUCAGCAGCAAGUGGAACCAGGCCAUCCACCCAGCUCCUCUCUCCAAGACCAGGACUAUAUUUACUAUAUCACCGCUAUCUUUAUAAUGCCUCUAACCACGGCUAAAGCCAUCUACAUAUUUGCAAGCUUUGCCUGUCUGGGAUGAAUGGUCUUGAAGAGAAAAUGAUCAUAAUUUGCAUGAAGCUGACUCACCUCUGGGUAGAGAGAGAAAAGGAAACUAAGGGUUGGAGACAUGCAGCAGCUUUCACACAGCGAGUAAAGGGUAGGGGUAGUGACAAAAUAAGAACUCAAGCCUGCCUAUCUUCAAAGUAACCACGUUAUUUUCCAGGGGCUCAACUCUUUCCAGUACAUGGGUCAUACUUAGAUAGCAUUUCAAAGUGAAGGCCAAACAGCUAUGAGAAAAUAAGAAACCAGUGGGAAUUGGAGAAAAGAAGAUCAAGAAUCCUGCCUUCAUCCUUCCCCAGCCCACUACAGUGGCUCUCCUAAGGCCUCAAUUAUCCAAAUAUCUACUCUGUUAAAGAAACUCAGAAUAUGCCUCUCUAAACAGGGGAGAAUGUAAUAUACUUGACUCCUCACAGAUUUGAUGAUCAUUUUGG
rnacentral:lncRNA from 1 species